GAUGAACGCUAGCGGCAGGCUUAAUACAUGCAAGUCGUGGGGCAGCAGGUUUGUAGCAAUACAGAUGCUGGCGACCGGCAAACGGGUGCGGAACACGUACAGAACCUUCCUUUGAGCGGGGAAUAGCCCAGAGAAAUUUGGAUUAAUACCCCAUAGUAUAAUGAAGUGGCAUCACUUUAUUAUUAAAGAUUUAUCACUCGAAGAUGGCUGUGCGGCUGAUUAGGUAGUUGGCGGGGUAAAGGCCCACCAAGCCUGCGAUCAGUAACUGGUGUGAGAGCACGACCAGUCACACGGGCACUGAGACACGGGCCCGACUCCUACGGGAGGCAGCAGUAAGGAAUAUUGGUCAAUGGAGGCAACUCUGAACCAGCCAUGCCGCGUGGAGGAUGAAGGUCCUCUGGAUUGUAAACUUCUUUUAUAUGGGACGAAAAAAGGCUUUUCUAAGUCGUCUGACGGUACCAUAUGAAUAAGCACCGGCUAACUCCGUGCCAGCAGCCGACGG
rnacentral:rRNA from 1 species